rnacentral:rRNA from 1 species
GACGAACGCUGGCGGCGUGCCUAAUACAUGCAAGUCGAGCGAACGGACGAGAAGCUUGCUUCUCUGAUGUUAGCGGCGGACGAGUGAGUAACACGUGGAUAACCUACCUAUAAGACUGGGAUAACUUCGGGAAACCGGAGCUAAUACCGGAUAAUAUUUUGAACCGCAUGGUUCAAAAGUGAAAGACGGUCUUGCUGUCACUUAUAGAUGGAUCCGCGCUGCAUUAGCUAGUUGGUAAGGUAACGGCUUACCAAGGCAACGAUGCAUAGCCGACCUGAGAGGGUGAUCGGCCACACUGGAACUGAGACACGGUCCAGACUCCUACGGGAGGCAGCAGUAGGGAAUCUUCCGCAAUGGGCGAAAGCCUGACGGAGCAACGCCGCGUGAGUGAUGAAGGUCUUCGGAUCGUAAAACUCUGUUAUUAGGGAAGAACAUAUGUGUAAGUAACUGUGCACAUCUUGACGGUACCUAAUCAGAAAGCCACGGCUAACUACGUG